rnacentral:rRNA from 1 species
CCAGACUCCUACGGGAGGCAGCAGUAGGGAAUCUUUCACAAUGGGCGAAAGCCUGAUGGAGCAAUGCCGCGUGCAGGACGAAGGCCUUCGGGUUGUAAACUGCUUUUAUAAGCGAGAAAUAUGAUGGUAACUUAUGAAUAAGGAUCGGCUAACUACGUGCCAGCAGCCGCGGUCAUACGUAGGAUCCGAGCAUUAUCCGGAGUGACUGGGUGUAAAGAGUUGCGUAGGUGGCAAGAUAAGUAGAUAGUGAAAUCUGGUGGCUCAACCAUUCAGACUAUUAUCUAAACUAUCUAGCUCGAGACUGUUAUGGGUAACUGGAAUUUCUAGUGUAGGAGUGAAAUCCGUAGAUAUUAGAAGGAACACCGAUAGCGUAGGCAGGUUACUGGGACAGUUCUGACACUAAGGCACGAAAGCGUAGGGAGCAAACGGGAUUAGAUACCCCGGUAGUCUACGCCGUAAACGAUGGAUACUAGCAGUUUUGGGUAUCGACCCCCGGAGUUGCGAAGCUAACGCGUUAAGUAUCCCACCUGUGUAGUACGAUCGCAAGAUUAAAACAUAAAGGAAUUGACGGGGGCCCGCACAAG